AUAAUAUUAAGAUUCAAAACAUUGGCAUUUACAGUUGUGAGGGACCAUAGAGGUUAUCAAUUUGUGUCCUUUUUCAGAUCAAGAAAUGACAGUUCAGAGCAGUAGGUUACCCAGAGCCAAGAAUAAUUAUAUAGUGGAUUCUAUAUGCCAAGCUCUGCUCUAAACAGUUUACAUACAUUUUAUGUAUUAACUUAUUAAUUCUUAAAUUCACCAUUUUACAGAUGAAAAAAUAAACAUUCAGAGGUGAAGUCACCCAAGAACCCUCACCUAGUAAGUGAUGGCCCUGGGAUUUGAACCCAGGUAUUCUUCCUUUCAGUCAGUGCACUUAACUAUGCUCCCAGUUUCUACAAAGGGCAGUGUUGAGACCCUGAAACCAUUUAACCUUCUGAUAUGGUUAGGCUUUGUGUCCCCA
rnacentral:lncRNA from 10 species